rnacentral:rRNA from 1 species
GGGGAAUAUUGGACAAUGGGCGCAAGCCUGAUCCAGCCAUGCCGCGUGAGUGACGAAGGCCUUAGGGUUGUAAAGCUCUUUUGGCGGGGAAGAUAAUGACGGUACCCGCAGAAUAAGCUCCGGCUAACUUCGUGCCAGCAGCCGCGGUAAUACGAAGGGAGCUAGCGUUGUUCGGAAUCACUGGGCGUAAAGCGCACGUAGGCGGACUUUCAAGUCAGGGGUGAAAUCCCGGGGCUCAACCUCGGAACUGCCUUUGAUACUGUUGGUCUCGAGUCCGGAAGAGGUGAGUGGAAUUCCUAGUGUAGAGGUGAAAAUCGUAGAUAUUAGGAAGAACACCGGUGGCGGAGGCGGCUCACUGGUCCGGUACUGACGCUGAGGUGCGAAAGCGUGGG